AGGUGUGGGGAGGGGAGCACCUCGUUGGUCUCGCGCCAGAGCUGGGGGAAGGGACGAAACGACCUCCCCCACGCUGGGGAAAAGGAAAAAGGAAAAAAAAAAAAAAAAAAAGCAUGGUUUAACUUUCCCUUGAGCUGCAACUACUCGCUGUCCGGCGGGCCCCUCGUGAGCGAGGUGCCCCGGGCCGGCUCGAGGUGGUCGGUGCGGCCGGGCCGCUUUGGCUCCCAUUCCCCGCGGCCGGGAGAGACGCCGGCGAAGGCCGCGGCCCCGCGCUGCACCGACGGGCGGCCGCGCCUCCGCGGGGCCCCGGGGCCCGUCCGGCCCUCGCCCCCCCCGGCGCCGCCGAGGUUUGAACCCUCGGCUCGCCUUUCAGCCCGCGCCCUGCCCCCUGCUCGCAGCUGCUCUCGGUUUGGGUGCAGCGGUUUCCCCCGCAGAGGAGGAGGAGGAGACAGCGCGAGGAGCGACUCCGGGCUCGGGUUUCCGCACCAAUGCCGCGCAGCCCCGGGCGGCCCCCGGCGGCCGUCCCUCCUCCCCGGCACCACGUUCCACAGUCAUGGCGCGCGAGGAGGGGCGAGCGCGCGCCGCCGCGGCACCCGCGCCCCCUCCCCGCCCUCCCCUCUCGGCCCGGCUCCUCUCCUAGGCAACCUCCCUCCCCGGCCUGCAGCGCCGCGGAGAUGGAGCCCCCUCCCCAGAGAGCUGCGUUCGCUGCGCCGUCUGCAGCGCCCCCUCCCCGCCCCCAUCGGGGCGGAGGGAUGGAGCCGCGCGCUUCGCGAGCCUCCAGCCCCUUCCCGGGAGCCCCAGCCCCUCUCCCAGCCCCGCCGAGCCCGGGUGCGGAGGGGGGAGGCGCAGGCCGCCUCUCCGCACUCCACCGAGACCUUGGCGUCUUUGCAACCCCUUAGCAAAAUAAAUAAAGCCCCCCAACCCCAGUCGUUAAAUUGCAAAGCUCGUUACAAUAACCGGGACGGCUACGCAGGAAGCAAUCCUGCACUGGUCCGGGUCUAA
rnacentral:lncRNA from 12 species